UCUAGAAAGCAGUCUUCUUCAGCCCUGCAGCCUGGAUAGCAGAUUACACUCUGGUACUACAACUCCCAAGAUGAAGCUUGUUUCUGGAGCCAAAAGUUCACCUUUGCCCCUGCAGGCAAUAGGAGGAGACUGAGCCUUGUAGAGCAGAGAGAAGCCAAGCCCGUGGAGGUGUGGCCCAUUCUGCAAACGUCUCUCCCUGGAGUUGAGCAGUCUAACUGUCUGUCAUCUUCCACCCAACCUCCAGCAAAAAAGGCAGGAGAAUGCAAAAAUAUCAUGAAGAAUGGGGAAAGGAGUUCUGUUAGUUGUCUAAAAUGUAUGAUAAUGCUUUGAAAGCUCAUUGCAAUAUAGACUCUUUAGUUUUGCACUGUGGAGUGUGUGAGGUGAAAGCAUGCAGUGGGAGAAGAGGUCACAUUCACAACAUUCAAAUGAAGGGUCCGAAUCAAGCCAUACCCAAGUUUCUAAUUAAUGAAAGUUCAUCAGAAGCCAAUGAGCUAUGGACAUUCUGCAUACUUGACAGUAGAAGGAUUCCUGUGAGGCAAAUCCUGGAAUACCUUGGUACUGAAGAAUGAUGGAAACUCAGGUUUUUGGAGAAGAGUCCUCAAGAGCCGGCUGUGGCGAGUUUGCUCAAAACUUUGCGGAUAAAGUCGCUUGUAUAUAUACAGCCUUGGACUCCAAGAAUUAUGCAUUGUCCAGCAAGUUGCCUCAUACCUUAUCUUGUCCAGUCAUCCUGGAUACCUUUCGGCUUGUGAAGCUUGAUGAUGUGGACAAGAUCCUUGUUAGCAUGCAGGCAUCAUUGUGUACUCUUGAUCUUUGCCAUUCUUGGCUAAUAAAAGUUGCCAAAGCAGGGGAUAAUUUGGUGGUUGGAGGUUAUUAUUAAUGCUCCAUUGAGGGAGGGCAAGUUUCCACCUGCUCUAAAAAAAAGGUGGU